AUUGAACGCUGGCGGCAUGCCUUACACAUGCAAGUCGAACGGCAGCGGGGACUUCGGUCCGCCGGCGAGUGGCGAACGGGUGAGUAAUGCAUCGGAACGUACCCGGAAGUGGGGGAUAACGUAGCGAAAGUUACGCUAAUACCGCAUAUUCUGUGAGCAGGAAAGAGGGGGAUCUUCGGACCUCUUGCUUUCGGAGCGGCCGAUGUCAGAUUAGCUAGUUGGUGAGGUAAAGGCUCACCAAGGCGACGAUCUGUAGCGGGUCGGAGAGGAUGAUCCGCCAACCUGGAACUGAGACCCGGUCCAGACUCCUACGGGAGGCAGCAGUGGGGAAUUUUGGACAAUGGGAGCAAGCCUGAUCCAGCCAUGCCGCGUGAGUGAAGAAGGCCUUCGGGUUGUAAAGCUCUUUCGGCCGGGAAGAAAUCGCAUGGAUUAAUACUCUGUACGGAUGACGGUACCGGCAUAAGAAGCACCGGCUGACUACGUGCCAGCAGCCGCCGUAAUAC
rnacentral:rRNA from 1 species